rnacentral:tRNA from 1 species
GGUAGGGUGGCCGAAGAUAAGCGUUAGACUGUAAAUCUAAAUAUAAGGGUUAUAUUCCUUUCUCUACCA